AGCCAACUGGCUCCUCUCCUGCCCAAGGUGCUGGUGGAAGAUGGAGCCUCCCAUGGCUUUUGCAACCACUGAGACCAAGCGGAGACCCAGUCAAACACAUCCAGCCACAAACGAGCCUUCUAAAUAGAUGAGCUUUUGGUCAGGGCCGGGACACCCACUAUUGCACCCACAGCGGCUGCUGUCCACCCGGCAUCCUUUGGAGCAAGAGGGGUCUGGCCUCUGCACCGCAGCUGCUGGCCACCAUGGUCCGGAGACAUCUGUAGGGGAGGGGUGAAAGCUCUUUAAAGACAGGACCUAUGGAGGCCUUGGAAGUGCUGGGUCUUCUUCCAAGGAGGAGAAAUUCCCUGAGUUGAACUGAAUGGCAUCUGUGUAUUCACAAGAAUAAAUAAAAGAAGCAGUGAACGGACAC
rnacentral:lncRNA from 1 species